GCACGUUUAGCUUAGUCAGUAGAGUGCAAGGCUUUUAACCUUGAGGUUGUGGGUUCAAGGCCUUUUAUGGACG
rnacentral:tRNA from 1 species